GCCCAGGCUGCUCCAGCGAUAUUGCUGCUAACGUUACAUCAAUUCACCUUUACAGGAUGAUGAGGAUCCUUCAACUUCAGCUUCCUUUCUCUGGUGAAAGUAACCAUGACGACGCUGACUAACAUCUGUUAUCUCUGGGCUGUGAACUCUUCACUCACCUCCUCUUGCAGGACUCAGAAAGGAUCGUUUCUCGGCUUCAGGUUUCUUCUGUUGGAUUUUCCCAUCCAUAGUCCAGCACCACAUGUGCUCAUGCUUUGUUAAAGUCCUCACCUCGCUGUCGUCAUGGAGAAGUGAACUCACUGAAAUCAGCAGCAAGAAAAUGAGACGUUCAUCCAGAAGAGGUUGUGCAGAAGUUUGAACCCUGUCUGGGAUUGAUGGUUUAUGAUUUCAUGGUGCUCCUCAGCAGCACAGUGAGGAACUCUCUUUCUAAACUGUUGAUAAAUAACUCCUUGUUGCCAGUGAUGGUGCUGGUGUAGCACUUGUAUCUUCCCUGGUCCUGAACCUCCACCCCUGUCAACCGGAGCAAGGCGUUUCCUCUGGAGAU